GGCGAACGGGUGAGUAACACGUGAGUAACCUGCCCUUGACUCUGGGAUAAGCGUUGGAAACGACGUCUAAUACCGGAUACGAGCUAGGACCGCAUGGUCACUAGUUGGAAAGAAUUUCGGUCAAGGAUGGACUCGCGGCCUAUCAGCUAGUUGGUGAGGUAAUGGCUCACCAAGGCGACGACGGGUAGCCGGCCUGAGAGGGUGACCGGCCACACUGGGACUGAGACACGGCCCAGACUCCUACGGGAGGCAGCAGUGGGGAAUAUUGCACAAUGGGCGCAAGCCUGAUGCAGCAACGCCGCGUGAGGGACGACGGCCUUCGGGUUGUAAACCUCUUUUAGCAGGGAAGAAGCGAAAGUGACGGUACCCGCAGAAAAAGCACCGGCUAACUACGUGCCAGCAGCCGCGGUAAUACGUGGGGUGCAAGCGUUGUCCGGAAUUAUUGGGCGUAAAGAGCUCGUAGGCGGUUUGUCGCGUCUGCUGUGAAAAUCCGAGGCUCAACCUCGGACCUGCAGUGGGUACGGGCAAACUAGAGUGCGGUAGGGGAGAUUGGAAUUCCUGGUGUAGCGGUGGAAUGCGCAGAUAUCAGGAGGAACACCAAUGGCGAAGGCAGAUCUCUGGGCCGUAACUGACGCUGAGGAGCGAAAGCGUGGGGAGCGAACAGGAUUAGAUACCCUGGUAGUCCACGCCGU
rnacentral:rRNA from 1 species